rnacentral:rRNA from 1 species
UGGGGAAUAUUGCACAAUGGGCGGAAAGCCCUGAUGCAGCAACGCCGCGUGAGUGAUGAAGGCCCUUCGGGGUUGUAAAGCUCUUGUCUUUUGGGACGAUAAUGACGGUACCAAAGGAGGAAGCCACGGCUAACUACGUGCCAGCAGCCGCGGUAAUACGUAGGUGGCAAGCGUUGUCCGGAUUUACUGGGCGUAAAGGAUGCGUAGGCGGAUUUUUAAGUGAGAUGUGAAACCCUAAGCUUAACUUGGGGGACUGCAUUUCAUACUGGAAAUCUAGAGUGCGGGAGAGGAGAAUGGAAUUCCUAGUGUAGCGGUGAAAUGCGUAGAGAUUAGGAAGAACACCAGUGGCGAAGGCGAUUCUCUGGACCGUAACUGACGCUGAGGCAUGAAAGCGUGGGUAGCAAACAGGAUUAGAUACCCUGGUAGUCCACGCCGUAAACGAUGAGUUACUAGGUGUAGGAGGUAUCGACCCCUUCUGUGCCGCAGUUAACACAAUAAGUACUCCGCCUGGGGAAGUACGAUCGCAAGAUUAAAACUUAAAUGAAUUGACGGGGGUCAUAGCUGUUUCCU